rnacentral:rRNA from 2 species
GGUGAGUAACACGUGGGUAACCUGCCUGUAAGACUGGGAUAACUCCGGGAAACCGGGGCUAAUACCGGAUGCUUGUUUGAACCGCAUGGUUCAAACAUAAAAGGUGGCUUCGGCUACCACUUACAGAUGGACCCGCGGCGCAUUAGCUAGUUGGUGAGGUAAUGGCUCACCAAGGCAACGAUGCGUAGCCGACCUGAGAGGGUGAUCGGCCACACUGGGACUGAGACACGGCCCAGACUCCUACGGGAGGCAGCAGUAGGGAAUCUUCCGCAAUGGACGAAAGUCUGACGGAGCAACGCCGCGUGAGUGAUGAAGGUUUUCGGAUCGUAAAGCUCUGUUGUUAGGGAAGAACAAGUGCCGUUCAAAUAGGGCGGCACCUUGACGGUACCUAACCAGAAAGCCACGGCUAACUACGUGCCAGCAGCCGCGGUAAUACGUAGGUGGCAAGCGUUGUCCGGAAUUAUUGGGCGUAAAGGGCUCGCAGGCGGUUUCUUAAGUCUGAUGUGAAAGCCCCCGGCUCAACCGGGGAGGGUCAUUGGAAACUGGGGAACUUGAGUGCAGAAGAGGAGAGUGGAAUUCCACGUGUAGCGGUGAAAUGCGUAGAGAUGUGGAGGAACACCAGUGGCGAAGGCGACUCUCUGGUCUGUAACUGACGCUGAGGAGCGAAAGCGUGGGGAGCGAACAGGAUUAGAUACCCUGGUAGUCCACGCCGUAAACGAUGAGUGCUAAGUGUUAGGGGGUUUCCGCCCCUUAGUGCUGCAGCUAACGCAUUAAGCACUCCGCCUGGGGAGUACGGUCGCAAGACUGAAACUCAAAGGAAUUGACGGGGGCCCGCACAAGCGGUGGAGCAUGUGGUUUAAUUCGAAGCAACGCGAAGAACCUUACCAGGUCUUGACAUCCUCUGACACCCCUAGAGAUAGGGCUUCCCCUUCGGGGGCAGAGUGACAGGUGGUGCAUGGUUGUCGUCAGCUCGUGUCGUGAGAUGUUGGGUUAAGUCCCGCAACGAGCGCAACCCUUGAUCUUAGUUGCCAGCAUUCAGUUGGGCACUCUAAGGUGACUGCCGGUGACAAACCGGAGGAAGGUGGGGAUGACGUCAAAUCAUCAUGCCCCUUAUGACCUGGGCUACACACGUGCUACAAUGGACAGAACAAAGGGCAGCGAGACCGCGAGGUUAAGCCAAUCCCACAAAUCUGUUCUCAGUUCGGAUCGCAGUCUGCAACUCGACUGCGUGAAGCUGGAAUCGCUAGUAAUCGCGGAUCAGCAUGCCGCGGUGUAAUACGUUCCCGGGCCUUGUACACACCGCCCGUC